rnacentral:rRNA from 1 species
CCAGUAAUCAUAUGCUUGUCUCAAAGAUUAAGCCAUGCAUGUCUAAGUACAUGCCGAAAUAAGGCGAAACCGCGAAUGGCUCAUUAAAUCAGUUAUGGUUCCUUAGAUCGUUUCUUCCUACUUGGAUAACUGUGGCAAUUCUAGAGCUAAUACAUGCAGUGAGCCUGGAGCCCUUUGGGUAACGGGUGCUUUUAUUAGACCAAGAUCGAUCGGGUUUCGGCCCGUAUUGUGUGGUGACUCUGGAUAACUUUGUGCUGAUCGCAUGGCCACGAGCCGGCGACGUUUCUUUCAAGUGUCUGCCUUAUCAACUUUCGAUGGUAGGUUACUUGCUUACCAUGGUUGUUACGGGUAACGGAGAAUCAGGGUUCGAUUCCGGAGAGGGAGCCUGAGAAACGGCUACCACAUCCAAGGAAGGCAGCAGGCGCGCAAAUUACCCACUCCCGGCACGGGGAGGUAGUGACGAAAAAUAACAAUACGGGACUCUUUUGAGGCCCCGUAAUUGAAAUGAGUACACUCUAAAUCCUUUAACGAGGAUCAAUUGGAGGGCAAGUCUGGUGCCAGCAGCCGCGGUAAUUCCAGCUCCAAUAGCGUAUACUAAAGCUGCUGCGGUUAAAAAGCUCGUAGUUGGAUCUCGGUUCCAGACGAGUAGUGCAUCUACCCGAUGCGACGGCUCGGACUGAACAUCAUGCCGGUUCUUUCUUGGUGCACUUCAUUGUGUGCCUCGAGAUGGCCGGUGCUUUUACUUUGAAAAAAUUAGAGUGCUCAACGCAGGCGAGUCGCCUGAAUAAACUUGCAUGGAAUAAUAGAACAAGACCUCGUUUCUGUUCUGUUGGUUUUUGGAAUACGAGGUAAUGAUUAAGAGGGACGGACGGGGGCAUUCGUAUUGCGGCGCUAGAGGUGAAAUUCUUGGACCGUCGCAAGACGAACUACUGCGAAAGCAUUUGCCAAGAAUGUUUUCAUUGAUCAAGAACGAAAGUCAGAGGUUCGAAGGCGAUCAGAUACCGCCCUAGUUCUGACCAUAAACGAUGCAACCAUACUUCCCCCGGAACCCAAAUACUUUGGUUUCCCGGAAGCUGCCCGCCGAGUCAUUUGAGUAACUCAGGCGGAUCGC